AAUUGCAAAACGCCGAACCUUUUUAGGGCGGGGGAGAUUUCUUCUUGGGGUGAAUGACGAAACGUCUAGGGCAACCUUUCUGCCCGAACCCGUCAACUAACCUCGUAGGCGAAAGAAAGGAGAAUU
rnacentral:sRNA from 1 species